CAGUCUGGGCAGGAAAGAUGGAGGUGACAGAAAGUGUAGGAGUCCAGCCUUGGCAGGAAAGGCUGACGUGAUUCUGAUGGGGGGCUGUGUCACUGGCUAUCCAGGAAAGGCUGAGGUGAUUAUGAAGGAGAAAAGGAUCACCGACUGAGCUGUAAAAGCUAUGGUGACGGUGGGCAGGAUGGGAAAGGCUGGGGUGAUUCUGAUAGGGGAUAGUCUCAGGAUCCGUGUGAAGAAGGUCUGAUACAUAUCUCACCUAGUAGGGCUUGGGAGGAGGGGAAAAUCCUUACCUGAGGGCUAUGCAGAUGUUGUAAGGACAUGGGACUAACACACAACUCUAUACUUCCACUCUCUCUGAGUCAGCUUCAAGCACAAGAGGGCAAGAAGAAAAUGUCAAAGAAGAGGGGGAAAGAAGAUGGGUCACUGAAGACAGAGGAGAAGUACUCUUGGCACAGUAAUGGGGCCUCAGGUCAUGUCAUUAUACUGCAUGGGGAUGUCAAGUCUUUAAUAUCCUGAGCAGUAAAGCAGGGGUACAAGACUGAGCCAUCUUGUCCUUUUAACAUUAGGCUCUGUUAAUGAUUACGUGAGAGUUAAUGCCCUGUAAUCAGAGUGCAAGUAACUUCCUCUUCUCUUUUGAUGGGAAUUGACCUCUUUGUUCAACUGAGCAAUUUGACUGCCCUGCUUGCCCCUAUGAUUCCUUUGGGUUGCUGGGCGUGUCUGUUUGACAUGACCCUCUAAACAGGGUACAGGUUUAGAUGCUUGCCCUUUCUUUUUUGAGAGGAGGAAGAUGGAUCAAGUUGAAAACAUAUGGUUCCAAUUACCCAUUGCUGAGAGCUCUCUGCCUUUUCGAGGAACUCCCCCUUUUUUUUAAUGGAUGAUGUUGAGAGCAUGUGAUAGAAUUGGAAUGGAAGUUCUUAUUUAUUUGUUUGUUUAUUUUGAGUUUUUUCAGUUAUACUGCUGCAGCAGGUUUUAUUUCAACUCCACAUAAUUGGCAAAAGAGCUCAAUGCUUAUAGAAAGACUGAAACACUUUCUCCCCACAAAACAGAAAAAAAGAGCUCAGGGAUCAGGAUUUAAAGCCCUACAGAUUAAAAGUCCACUUCCCCUAUUCUAGAUGCAGUUCCAUUUAGAAGGUCCAGGUACGUGCCCUUUUGGCCUUUUGACAUUAGGCUCCGUUAGCUGGCUGGUGGGAGCGACUGCCCUGUAAUCAGGGUGUGUGUCUCCUCCCCCUUGUCUUUUGUGGGGCAUCGAGCUCUUUGUUAGUCCGAGCAAUGUGACCGCCCUGCAAGUAGGGUCUGCGUCUCGUCCCAUUUGCUAUUCGGGCUUUACGCCUUGCUCUGCCCCACGGGUCAACCCUGGGAUUUUGGUGAGUGUGACAAGUCUCGCUAGAAAGGGACAUAUUGAGCUCCUGGGUACUCUCAGGAGCUUGACCAGCCUGUAAUUCAGGUAUUGGUCUCUGCCCUUUGGAUCUGCAGUGACCGUCCUGUAAUCAGGGUACUGGUUGCAUGCCUCUUGCUUCUCAACACCAGGCGAUUAGAUCCCUUCCAGUCUCGUGGGCAGCCUGUAAGUAGGCUUUGCGUCCCUUUUGAGGCCCUUUGGGUCUCUUGGUCUUGGGCAUUUUCACAGCCCGAUGCGAGGGACCGCCCCGUACUCGGGGAUGGGUUCCUUGCCCUCGAGUCUUUUGGCACUAGGUCAUGUGCAGCAAACUGCUUGGGAUGAGCACCCUGUAGACAGGGGAUGUGCCUCAUCGGAUAUUAGGUAUGGUACCCCCAUGACACUGUGUCCAGAGUCCUGACCCAUCCCGCAGCGCUCCCCACGUGCCGGGAAUUCAGAAGCCAAGUCUCCUGCUCUCUCGGAGACCCAGCCGGCAAUUGCUGGCAGCCUCACGCACAAGUGGAGAAGAGGGAAAAAAGGAGGCAUGUGCAAGAAAGAAGAGAAAAGACGACGAGUGAAGAUGGAGGAGACGGAAAGGGACUCUGGACACAGUUUCCUUUCUGUAAUGAGGUCUAAGGUCAUGUCCUUAUACUGCCUGUGGAUGUGGGGCCUUUUCGUACCUUGAGCAGUGUGACCGCUCUGUAAGCAGGGUCCAGGUCUGUGCCCUUCUGGCCUUUUGACAUUAGGCUCCAUUAGCUGGCUGGUGGGAGCGACUGCCCUGUAAUCAGGGUGUGUGUCUCCUCCCCCUUGUCUUUUGUGGGGCAUCGAGCUCUUUGUUAGUCCGAGCAAUGUGACCGCCCUGCAAGUAGGGUCUGCGUCUCGUCCCAUUUGCUAUUCGGGCUUUACGCCUUGCUCUGCCCCACUCGUCCACGGGUCAACCCUGGGAUUUGGGUGA